GGGCGUGUGGCUCAGUUGGUAGAGCGUUCGCUUAGCAUACUCGCCUGUAUGCGAAAGGUCCUGGGUUCGAUUCCCAGCUCGUCCA